AGGAUGGACAGGCUGAAAGUCGCCACGGAGAAAGACUUGCGAGAGGCUGCGGCCAUCGAGAGGCGCCGCGAGCGCGAGGAGGAGCGCAAGAAGAGGAUCUUCGAUGCCAAGGCGAGGACGAUUGGAGUGGACGUGAGUGCGUUGGAUGGACAGCUCGAGGAGAAGCGUCAACUGCAGGCGCAGCAGGACGAGACGCGGCGGAGAUUCGUGGCGGAGAGCAGCCGGUGCGCCGAGGUGGCGCAGCAGCUGGAGGAGGAGGCCAAGUGUCAGCAGAAGCAGAUCAGCGAGAGCCUCAAUGACUACAGGAGGCGCUUCCAGAGGCGCGAGGACACGCGCGAGUGGGAUCUCAACGAUCCGUGGGCGAAGCGGAAGGCGCCGCCGGCGAGAAUCAGCGACAGUGAUCCCCGAUUGAGUGUCUCCGGCGGGCAGAGGUUCCUCGGGGAGGAUUUGACGGGUGGCCAGAGGGCGAAGCUGCAGCAGCAACAGCAGCGCGAGUGGCUGCAGCACCAGAUGGCGGAGAGGAGACGUCGCGAGGAGGACCAGCGCAAGGCGGACGUGGCGCUACAGCGAGCCAUUGAGGCGAGAGAUCGUGUGGCGCUGGAUCUGGAGCGGAGCGAGCGCAGCAAUAGACGAAAGUGCCUCGAGCAGGACGCCCAGAUUAACCGGCGCUUGGCGAGGCAGCGCCAAGAGGAGGAGCUGCGGCGGCGACAGCAGGAAGUGCAGGACAACCUGGCGGAGAUGUGCAAUUUCGCCACGAGUGACAUGCUGACGGAGAAUCCGGAGGCGGCGAACAGCAGCUUCGGCCCGGGCCGGAAGAUUCCCUACAUGUACAGAGGCAUGUCGCCGGAAGAGAUCCGCCUCUGCCGCGAGAACCAGCUGCAGCAGAUUGCGGAGAAGCAGGAGCGUGAACGCGGCGAGCGGCUGUGGGAGGAUCAGUGGGACGGACUGGAGAGGAAGUUCGCCCGCAUGUCGACCAUCGACGAGCGGGCAGUGCAGAGACGCGUGCGGGCGAACAUGGCGAGCGUCCAGGGCGAGAAUCAGGGCUUGGCGAAGGAGCAGAAAACCCAAUUGGACCACCUGAAUGGCGUCGUGUAUCGGAAUUCGCCGACAAAUGAGUAUUUUGAGCAAUUCAACACAACAACGCGAUAGGAAGCCGCUCUGGAAAGGUAAUGAUUUUUCCGUAUUCAUUCACAACAAUCUCAAUGAGUGCGACGUGCAGAAUUCCCUUCAAUUUCACAUCAAUUGUUUGGCGGACAAUAAAGACUCCUGUGGCGAAGUUUCGGGGAGUUGCGGCGGGUGGAUAAACCGCAGAGUUUUGUGCCAAGAAUAUGGCGAUAGUUGAGUGGGAUUUGUUGAGUCGAGUCAUGCUUCAUCGGCGGCACCGUCGAGAGAUAUCAGCGCGCAUAUGGAAAUUGAGCGCA